rnacentral:rRNA from 1 species
CGGGGGAUGCAAGCGUUAUCCGGAAUCAUUGGGCGUAAAGCGCCUGUAGGUUGUUUAGUAAGUCCAUUGUUAAAGACCAGGGCUUAACCCUGGGAAAGCAAUAGAAACUACUAGACUUGAGUAUGGCAGGGGUAGAGGGAAUUUCUAGUGUAGCGGUGAAAUGCGUAGAUAUUAGAAAGAACACCGGUGGCGAAAGCGCUCUACUGGACCAUUACUGACACUGAGAGGCGAAAGCUAGGGUAGCAAAAGGGAUUAGAUACCCCUGUAGUCCUAGCCGUAAACGAUGGAUACUAGGUGUUGUGCAGUUCGUACAGUAUCUUAGCUAACGCGUUAAGUAUCCCGCCUGGGGAGUACGCUCGCAAGGGUGAAACUCAAAGGAAUUGACGGGGGCCCGCACAAGCGGUGGAGCAUGUGGUUUAAUUCGAUGCAACGCGAAGAACCUUACCAGGGCUUGACAUACUACAGAUCUUUUAGAGAUAAAAGAGUGCCUUCGGGAAUGUAGAUACAGGUGGUGCAUGGCUGUCGUCAGCUCGUGUCGUGAGAUGUUGGGUUAAGUCCCGCAACGAGCGCAACCCUCGUUUUUAGUUGCCAAUUUAUUGGGUUUUCUAGAGAGACUGCCGGUGACAAACCGGAGGAAGGUGAGGAUGACGUCAAGUCAGCAUGCCCCUUAUGUCCUGGGCCACACACGUGCUACAAUGGCGGAGACAAAGAGUCGCAAACCUGCGAAGGCUAGCUAAUCUCAUA